ACUUUUUGACUUUUCUCCCUCCCGUCUCGAUCUUCUCGCGCCGCGAUAGCCAUUUGUUUCCCGGCCAUCUCUCUCUUGCUCUGCCCUUCGUUCGUUGCUCGAGUUUGCUCGUUCUCGAGACCAGCUUUGAACAAACACGUUGCAAUAGGCAAUAUUGUAGCAUAUUCCUAAGCCAAGUAGUGUAUAUUAGAUGAUGGCGCCUCAAAGAAGGGGCACAACAACAUGCAAUAGGGUGGAAGGAGAUGGGUGACUCUGGCUCGAGCAGACCCUACCCAAAAUCAUUCGGUUGGAGAACUACCAUUGAGGCAUGUGCCACAAUGGCUAGUACCUCUGACACAAACUACGGUGAUAUUGACAUUGUAGGCUAUACUCACUUUUUGAGUUAGCUGCAACCAAUUAGUCAAGAAUAAUGGAAACAUGAUGACAGAGUAAGUUAAAUAUUUGUAAGACUUCAAGAAGCAUGAUCCCAACAACCUUUGGAUCGAUAUGCAGUAGACCAUACGACGAGAAUAUAGUUAGAGUGAAGUUAGAGAAUCUCCCUCUUGAGCUAGCCUAGGACAUUAUCUUGUUCAAAUUUCCAGGUCUAGUCUACACUUCUUUUUUUCUUUUUUUUUUUUCAACCACCAUGACUAAAUUGUCAACUUUCUUAAACAACAUCAUGUUUCUAAUAUUUCU